GAACUCCACAGACUCUGCGAC
rnacentral:miRNA from 1 species